UUUGGAUUUUUUUUUCACCUUUAUAAAAACACCUUCAUUUACAAAUUGCGUUUUGUGUUUACUUGUGUUGUCCUUGACUAUUGUUUAAAUUGGUUUGAUGUUCCGAAACACUUAAGUGUGACAAACAUGCAAAGGAACAGGAAAUGAGGAAGGGGCAAACACUUUUUCACACCACUGUAUGUGCCAACAGAAUCAUUUACAUUUGAAUUGGAUUUGAUUUAUUUUGUGUCUGCUUACUUGUUUGCAUUCUUACAUGUCUUUGUGAGGUUAUGUCAAGGACACAUACAUGCUGGAAAGUCACUGCACAAUAUGUAUGGGCUGAAAUAUAUGCCAACAGAAACUGAAUUUGAAACCUUUAUAUUUUAAUUUGAAUUGCUAAACUGGAAUAAUUGCAUUAAAAACUGAAUAGUACAGUUUGAAAUUGUAUUUGUUUGGAACUGAAAUCCAAUAAAAUAUGAUCAUCAAUGGAAUACAACUCUCUAAAGUAUAUCUUCACAUUCAGUUCUCACAAUUCAAAUUCAGUUCAUAAAAUUCUAUUUCAAGUUACUGUGACAGACAUCCAGGUACUUGAAGGAUGAAGGAAGAGCAUUGAAGCGCAGACAAAUGUGUAUCUUUCGCGCUCCCAAAUGACCCACAGUCCUAUGUGUGUGGCUUAGCCGGCUUGUUAAAAAACAAACAAUGGCAGACGUAAGCGGAGCAAAGCAGAAUUGGAUCGGCAUUGCUGACGGCGGAAAAAUCAUUUAAAUGACUAAGGAACAAACGGGGGCGGUCACUGAGGAUGGAAGCCACAGCAGCUAGUUGGCCCUGGUUGGCCAACGUGGAUGAGCCAUCGAUCCAGGAGGACAAACCAGGGCCAGGCCCUGCACUAGCAUCACCAGAAGGGAGUGAUGAGGGGGAGGAGGGGGAAAGCAAAAGACAAGAGAGCAGGAAGAAAGAGGCAGAAGAGAGAUGUUAUAGAUACAUUAUUUGCUAUGUUAGAGAUUGGCAUUAAAAAAAAUCAAAAGCAUUGAAUGAACUGCUUUGUCUGUGUCUUUAAGUUUUUAGGUGUGUAUGCAAUAUAAACUGUUUAUUUAAUGUCUAUUUUUCCAUUAAAUUAUGACCUGGACAUCUUGUUAGGUAGACAAGCUCUGAAGACAUUAACAAUAUGUGUAUCUUCAUUAUAACAUGUAUUCAAACAUGACUACAUACUGCACACAGUCUAGUCAACAUGAAGUGGCGAUCAGACACAGCUGCCAAUGAUGGUGUUGCUUCCAGACUGCAGACAGAAGGAGAAAGCUUUAGGUUAGUCCAGUAGUUAUCCAACCUGUCCUGGUAACAUUAGGUUAGUCCAGUAGUUAUC